rnacentral:rRNA from 1 species
UUAAGCGACUAAGCGUACACGGUGGAUGCCCUGGCAGUCAGAGGCGAUGAAGGACGUGCUAAUCUGCGAUAAGCGUCGGUAAGGUGAUAUGAACCGUUAUAACCGGCGAUUUCCGAAUGGGGAAACCCAGUGUGUUUCGACACACUAUCAUUAACUGAAUCCAUAGGUUAAUGAGGCGAACCGGGGGAACUGAAACAUCUAAGUACCCCGAGGAAAAGAAAUCAACCGAGAUUCCCCCAGUAGCGGCGAGCGAACGGGGAGGAGCCCAGAGCCUGAAUCAGUGUGUGUGUUAGUGGAAGCGUCUGGAAAGGCGCGCGAUACAGGGUGACAGCCCCGUACACAAAAAUGCACAUACUGUGAGCUCGAUGAGUAGGGCGGGACACGUGGUAUCCUGUCUGAAUAUGGGGGGACCAUCCUCCAAGGCUAAAUACUCCUGACUGACCGAUAGUGAACCAGUACCGUGAGGGAAAGGCGAAAAGAACCCCGGCGAGGGGAGUGAAAAAGAACCUGAAACCGUGUACGUACAAGCAGUGGGAGCCUCUUUAUGGGGUGACUGCGUACCUUUUGUAUAAUGGGUCAGCGACUUAUAUUCUGUAGCAAGGUUAACCGAAUAGGGGAGCCGAAGGGAAACCGAGUCUUAACUGGGCGUUAAGUUGCAGGGUAUAGACCCGAAACCCGGUGAUCUAGCCAUGGGCAGGUUGAAGGUUGGGUAACACUAACUGGAGGACCGAACCGACUAAUGUUGAAAAAUUAGCGGAUGACUUGUGGCUGGGGGUGAAAGGCCAAUCAAACCGGGAGAUAGCUGGUUCUCCCCGAAAGCUAUUUAGGUAGCGCCUCGUGAAUUCAUCUCCGGGGGUAGAGCACUGUUUCGGCAAGGGGGUCAUCCCGACUUACCAACCCGAUGCAAACUGCGAAUACCGGAGAAUGUUAUCACGGGAGACACACGGCGGGUGCUAACGUCCGUCGUGAAGAGGGAAACAACCCAGACCGCCAGCUAAGGUCCCAAAGUCAUGGUUAAGUGGGAAACGAUGUGGGAAGGCCCAGACAGCCAGGAUGUUGGCUUAGAAGCAGCCAUCAUUUAAAGAAAGCGUAAUAGCUCACUGGUCGAGUCGGCCUGCGCGGAAGAUGUAACGGGGCUAAACCAUGCACCGAAGCUGCGGCAGCGACGCUUAUGCGUUGUUGGGUAGGGGAGCGUUCUGUAAGCCUGUGAAGGUGUACUGUGAGGUAUGCUGGAGGUAUCAGAAGUGCGAAUGCUGACAUAAGUAACGAUAAAGCGGGUGAAAAGCCCGCUCGCCGGAAGACCAAGGGUUCCUGUCCAACGUUAAUCGGGGCAGGGUGAGUCGACCCCUAAGGCGAGGCCGAAAGGCGUAGUCGAUGGGAAACAGGUUAAUAUUCCUGUACUUGGUGUUACUGCGAAGGGGGGACGGAGAAGGCUAUGUUGGCCGGGCGACGGUUGUCCCGGUUUAAGCGUGUAGGCUGGUUUUCCAGGCAAAUCCGGAAAAUCAAGGCUGAGGCGUGAUGACGAGGCACUACGGUGCUGAAGCAACAAAUGCCCUGCUUCCAGGAAAAGCCUCUAAGCAUCAGGUAACAUCAAAUCGUACCCCAAACCGACACAGGUGGUCAGGUAGAGAAUACCAAGGCGCUUGAGAGAACUCGGGUGAAGGAACUAGGCAAAAUGGUGCCGUAACUUCGGGAGAAGGCACGCUGAUAUGUAGGUGAAGCGACUUGCUCGUGGAGCUGAAAUCAGUCGAAGAUACCAGCUGGCUGCAACUGUUUAUUAAAAACACAGCACUGUGCAAACACGAAAGUGGACGUAUACGGUGUGACGCCUGCCCGGUGCCGGAAGGUUAAUUGAUGGGGUUAGCGGUAACGCGAAGCUCUUGAUCGAAGCCCCGGUAAACGGCGGCCGUAACUAUAACGGUCCUAAGGUAGCGAAAUUCCUUGUCGGGUAAGUUCCGACCUGCACGAAUGGCGUAAUGAUGGCCAGGCUGUCUCCACCCGAGACUCAGUGAAAUUGAACUCGCUGUGAAGAUGCAGUGUACCCGCGGCAAGACGGAAAGACCCCGUGAACCUUUACUAUAGCUUGACACUGAACAUUGAGCCUUGAUGUGUAGGAUAGGUGGGAGGCUUUGAAGUGUGGACGCCAGUCUGCAUGGAGCCGGCCUUGAAAUACCACCCUUUAAUGUUUGAUGUUCUAACGUUGGCCCCUGAUCGGGGUUGCGGACAGUGUCUGGUGGGUAGUUUGACUGGGGCGGUCUCCUCCUAAAGAGUAACGGAGGAGCACGAAGGUUGGCUAAUCCUGGUCGGACAUCAGGAGGUUAGUGCAAUGGCAUAAGCCAGCUUGACUGCGAGCGUGACGGCGCGAGCAGGUGCGAAAGCAGGUCAUAGUGAUCCGGUGGUUCUGAAUGGAAGGGCCAUCGCUCAACGGAUAAAAGGUACUCCGGGGAUAACAGGCUGAUACCGCCCAAGAGUUCAUAUCGACGGCGGUGUUUGGCACCUCGAUGUCGGCUCAUCACAUCCUGGGGCUGAAGUAGGUCCCAAGGGUAUGGCUGUUCGCCAUUUAAAGUGGUACGCGAGCUGGGUUUAGAACGUCGUGAGACAGUUCGGUCCCUAUCUGCCGUGGGCGCUGGAGAACUGAGGGGGGCUGCUCCUAGUACGAGAGGACCGGAGUGGACGCAUCACUGGUGUUCGGGUUGUCAUGCCAAUGGCACUGCCCGGUAGCUAAAUGCGGAAGAGAUAAGUGCUGAAAGCAUCUAAGCACGAAACUUGCCCCGAGAUGAGUUCUCCCUGAGACUUUAAGUCUCCUGAAGGAACGUUGAAGACGACGACGUUGAUAGGCCGGGUGUGUAAGCGCAGCGAUGCGUUGAGCUAACCGGUACUAAUGAACCGUGAGACUUAACCUU